rnacentral:rRNA from 1 species
AAAUUGAAGAGUUUGAUCAUGGCUCAGAUUGAACGCUGGCGGCAAGCCUAACACAUGCAAGUCGAGCGGCAGCGAAGUAGAAAAGCUUUAGUUUUUUUAUUGUCGGCGAGCGGCGGACGGGUGAGUAAUAUCUGGGGAUCUGCCUUAUAGAGGGGGAUAACUAUUGGAAACGAUAGCUAAUACCGCAUAAUGUCGCAAGACCAAAGUGGGGGAUUUUAUAGUUUCAUAUAAAACCUCAUGCUAUUAGAUGAACCCAGACGGGAUUAGCUAGUAGGUAGAGUAAAAGCCUACCUAGGCUACGAUCCCUAGCUGGUCUGAGAGGAUGAUCAGCCACACUGGAACUGAGACACGGUCCAGACUCCUACGGGAGGCAGCAGUGGGGAAUAUUGCACAAUGGGCGAAAGCCUGAUGCAGCUAUGCCGCGUGUAUGAAGAAGGCCUUAGGGUUGUAAAGUACUUUCAACAAGAAAGAAGGGAUAAAAUCUAAUACAUUUUAUCAUUGACGUUACUUGUAAAAGAAGCACCGGCUAACUCCGUGCCAGCAGCCGCGGUAAUACGGAGGGUGCGAGCGUUAAUCGGAAUUACUGGGCGUAAAGAGCACGUAGGCUGUUAAUUAAGUCAGAUGUGAAAGCCCUAAGCUUAACUUAGGAAUUGCAUUUGAAACUAAUUAGCUUGAGUUUUGUAGAGGAGAGUAGAAUUCCAGGUGUAGCGGUGAAAUGCGUAGAUAUCUGGAGGAAUACCAGUGGCGAAGGCGACUCUCUGGACAAAUACUGACGCUCAGGUGCGAAAGCAUGGGGAGCAAACAGGAUUAGAUACCCUGGUAGUCCAUGCUGUAAACGAUGUCGACUUGGAGGUUGUAAGCUUGACUUGUAACUUCCGUAGCUAACGCGUUAAGUCGACCGCCUGGGGAGUACGACCGCAAGGUUAAAACUCAAAUGAAUUGACGGGGGCCCGCACAAGCGGUGGAGCAUGUGGUUUAAUUCGAUGCAACGCGAAAAACCUUACCUGGUCUUGACAUCCAUGGAAUUUAAUAGAGAUAUUUUAGUGCCUUCGGGAACCAUGAGACAGGUGCUGCAUGGCUGUCGUCAGCUCGUGUUGUGAAAUGUUGGGUUAAGUCCCGCAACGAGCGCAACCCUUGUCCUUUGUUGCCAUCAGUUCGGCUGGGAACUCAAAGGAAACUGCCGGUGAUAAACCGGAGGAAGGUGAGGACGACGUCAAGUCAUCAUGGCCCUUACGACCAGGGCUACACACGUGCUACAAUGGUAUAUACAAAGGGAAGCAUCCUCGCAAGAGUAAGCGGAUCUCAUAAAAUAUAUCUUAGUUCGGAUUGGAGUCUGCAACUCGACUCCAUGAAGUCGGAAUCGCUAGUAAUCGUAGAUCAGAAUGCUACGGUGAAUACGUUCCCGGGCCUUGUACACACCGCCCGUCACACCAUGGGAGUGGGUUGUAAAAGAAGUAAGUAGUUUAACCAUUUAUUUGGAGGGCGCUUACCACUUUGUGAUUCAUAACUGGGGUGAAGUCGUAACAAGGUAACCGUAGGGGAACCUGUGGUUGGAUCACCUCCUUU